rnacentral:RNase_P_RNA from 2 species
CGGGUGAGACAGACGGUCGCCCCACCUCUCGCGAGAGACGUGGGGAGGAAAGUCCGAACACCGUUCCCCGCAGCAAUGCGUGGUUCAUGGAGAGCCGUUAACGACGGCCGGGAUAUGGCGGGAUGAACGAAAGCUCACGUGGCAGACGUUCACUCGUAAACCCAGGGAAAGUGCCACAGAGACUAUACUAGUCCGCCUCGGCGGACGAAGAGUGAAAAGUGAUGCGGUGUGGGUCGGGUGCAAACCUGAUCUGCUACACAUCUCGUCUGGCGGUGACGCCAGAUCGCGGCAAACCCUCUCCGGUGCAAGAGCAAGAGUCUCGACGCAAGUCGGGACGACUGGUAGCUCGCAUGAGCGUCGCAGCAAUGCGCCGCCAAGAGAGAUGACCGUCUCGCGGGUCGCAAGACCUGUCAGACAAAACUCGGCUUAUCGUCUCAUCCGUGCA